AUUGAACGCUGGCGGCAUGCCUUACACAUGCAAGUCGAACGGUAACAGGUCUUCGGAUGCUGACGAGUGGCGAACGGGUGAGUAAUACAUCGGAACGUGCCCGAUCGUGGGGGAUAACGAAGCGAAAGCUUUGCUAAUACCGCAUAAGAUCUACGGAUGAAAGCAGGGGACCGCAAGGCCUUGCGCGAACGGAGCGGCCGAUGGCAGAUUAGGUAGUUGGUGGGAUAAAAGCUUACCAAGCCGACGAUCUGUAGCUGGUCUGAGAGGACGACCAGCCACACUGGGACUGAGACACGGCCCAGACUCCUACGGGAGGCAGCAGUGGGGAAUUUUGGACAAUGGGCGAAAGCCUGAUCCAGCCAUGCCGCGUGCAGGAUGAAGGCCUUCGGGUUGUAAACUGCUUUUGUACGGAACGAAAAGACUCUGGUUAAUACCUGGGGUCCAUGACGGUACCGUAAGAAUAAGCACCGGCUAACUACGUGCCAGCAGCCGCGGUAAUACGUAGGGUGCAAGCGUUAAUCGGAAUUACUGGGCGUAAAGCGUGCGCAGGCGGUUAUAUAAGACAGAUGUGAAAUCCCCGGGCUCAACCUGGGAACUGCAUUUGUGACUGUAUAGCUAGAGUACGGCAGAGGGGGAUGGAAUUCCGCGUGUAGCAGUGAAAUGCGUAGAUAUGCGGAGGAACACCGAUGGCGAAGGCAAUCCCCUGGGCCUGUACUGACGCUCAUGCACGAAAGCGUGGGGAGCAAACAGGAUUAGAUACCCUGGUAGUCCACGCCCUAAACGAUGUCAACUGGUUGUUGGGUCUUCACUGACUCAGUAACGAAGCUAACGCGUGAAGUUGACCGCCUGGGGAGUACGGCCGCAAGGUUGAAACUCAAGGGAAUUGACGGGGACCCGCACAAGCGGUGGAUGAUGUGGUUUAAUUCGAUGCAACGCGAAAAACCUUACCCACCUUUGACAUGUACGGAAUCCUUUAGAGAUAGAGGAGUGCUCGAAAGAGAGCCGUAACACAGGUGCUGCAUGGCUGUCGUCAGCUCGUGUCGUGAAAUGUUGGGUUAAGUCCCGCAACGAGCGCAACCCUUGCCAUUAGUUGCUACGAAAGGGCACUCUAAUGGGACUGCCGGUGACAAACCGGAGGAAGGUGGGGAUGACGUCAAGUCCUCAUGGCCCUUAUAGGUGGGGCUACACACGUCAUACAAUGGCUGGUACAGAGGGUUGCCAACCCGCGAGGGGGAGCUAAUCCCAUAAAGCCAGUCGUAGUCCGGAUCGCAGUCUGCAACUCGACUGCGUGAAGUCGGAAUCGCUAGUAAUCGCGGAUCAGAAUGUCGCGGUGAAUACGUUCCCGGGUCU
rnacentral:rRNA from 1 species